AAAAAAUAGAAGAAGAAAACCACAAAGAAAUAAGAAGAUCAAAAGAAAAGACCAACCAUGACGGUUUGUACAUGCAGUAAUAAAAUUCUGUACUGGUGCAUGUUCAACCUGUCCGGUGGCUUGCUGUUUUCUUUUAUCUCUUUUCCCCUUUCUCUUUUCUUUUGUG
rnacentral:ribozyme from 11 species